rnacentral:rRNA from 1 species
GACGAACGCUGGCGGCGUGCUUAACACAUGCAAGUCGAACGGAAAGGCCCUGCUUUUGUGGGGUGCUCGAGUGGCGAAAGGGUGAGUAACACGUGAGUAACCUGCCCUUGACUUUGGGAUAACUUCAGGAAACUGGGGCUAAUACCGGAUAGGAGCUCCUGCUGCAUGGUGGGGGUUGGAAAAUUUCGGCGGUUGGGGAUGGACUCGCGGCUUAUCAGCUUGUUGGUGGGGUAGUGGCUUACCAAGGCUUUGACGGGUAGCCGGCCUGAGAGGGUGACCGGCCACAUUGGGACUGAGAUACGGCCCAGACUCCUACGGGAGGCAGCAGUGGGGAAUAUUGCACAAUGGGCGGAAGCCUGAUGCAGCAACGCCGCGUGCGGGAUGACGGCCUUCGGGUUGUAAACCGCUUUCGCCUGUGACGAAGCGUGAGUGACGGUAAUGGGUAAAGAAGCACCGGCUAACUACGUG